rnacentral:lncRNA from 13 species
AGGAAUCGGUGAAUCCAACGAUAUAGGCAUUCUGUGUGGUACGAAAAUUUCAGUGCAAGGAGAAAUAUAUUAAACACAGAGACAGAGAAAAAAAGAGAGACACAUUCACAAGUGGGAUGUAUCUGCGGCUUGAGAUUAAAACCAAGGACGACAUGCAGCGCAGAGAGACGCGAGGACGAAUACCAUGCGUUCGUACAUGUAAUCUUCCUGCCUACUCCUCCAAUAGUCUGUAAAAUUACGUAAACUCUUCGAAGAGGCAGAAUUCCAUCAUUUAUAUAAAUAAUCUACGAAAGGAAUGGAAAAGGGAAAUGAAAGUAAACAGAUUGACCUGAAAGUGGAAUGAAAAUAUAUUCUUCAAGAAAGAAGAAUCCAAUAUCUCAUCUAUGCUUUUAUUCUAUUUGUAACGCGCACGCGCGCGCGCUGGAGCAAGUUUAAUCAAAUUAACUGCCCACACGUAAGUCUACGUGUCAAGAUAAAGGUAAGCGAGAACUAUGGUCACCUUCAAGAAACACUAUGUGCCUUGGAUACGAUGUGAAAUAUUGAUUUCAGGCUGCAUACAUUAGUGCCACGAGGAAACGCGUGAUCUAGAGAAACGCCGAAGUCACCGCGAGUGAAAUGGCCAAUUCUUUCACACAGUAUAACUCGGAACGCAAACGAUAUGUAUUUUAAGUGACAUUUCAGUAUCGAUAUCCGCGCGAUAGCGAUAAACAAUGCCUUUGAGAAGCUAAUAGACUUUAGGAAGUGACUUUCGCUUGUGGAAAACGUUAGCAUAAGUGGAGGACCUUCAGCGCGCUUAUAUAAGAUAUCGUGGUAUUCUCGGGAUCUUACGCAGAAAGACAUGAUUUACCUAGGCAGAUGUAAGUAGGGCAUUGGGUCAUCGCGCGUCACAUCGAUGCAAUAUUACAAGCUUAUCCACGAUCUGUGAUCCAUGAGUUUCCGAGUGUGUUAGGCGCAUGUCUCCCGCCCUUACACAACAAAUGGCCUUUUGGAUCUGUCGAGUUUCACAAAAACAGCAAGCGUUUAUGAUCGACGGCGUAUAAACUGUAGAGAGACUGGAAAGACGAAAGAAGUGCGCAGAGUGCGACAAAGAUGAAGAGUGUGGUUGACUCGUGUUUACGGGAUCAAAGAGCGAUACGCGUACACGUGUAGGGAAAAAGAGAAGAGUUGUGAUGGCUAACGGUAGAUGCGCUAUUGCGAGUGACGACGGCGGCCUUCCGUUUUCUCAGGCACUCCUAUGCAAGGGAGGCCACGUGCAUUCGUUCGUUCCGCUGAGUCGUUGCGAUUCGUAAACAGAUUCGCAUUCGCAUUUGCAAAUCACGGCCAAUGCGGAGAGUCCACAGAGAACCAUAAUUUGAUUCCUGAAUUUUUCGCUGAAAUAAUUACCAUGGAUCCUGCAUGUAAGCGGCAGGUGCUCAGGAGACUCUUCGAGACUUACGAUAACAACCGCGACUCUCGCCUUAUAAUUACACAGAGAUAAAUGCUGUGGAAAUAUUUUGUUAGUUCAAUAAUAAUAUUAAUGAAGCAAAAAGAUUAAAAGUAAAGACAUUAACAAAUAUAGUUGAAUGAAUAAAAUUUAGUUGAAUCAAUCACUACAUAUGUUAAUGGCAGCCCGUGAUUCAACGUUUAAUUGAAUCAAACUACAUUUUAAUUCAUAUUACAGUUUUUUUUUCUUAGUGUAGAAAUAAAAUAGUAGCGCAGGGAUUCCCAAAAUAUUGAUCGCGAGUCGAUUCUUAGUGAGUUGCAAAAAAUUUUUCAGAAAUCAAAAUCAAAUUUCGAAAUAAACUAUAAUUAUUGAACUCUUGGAAUAUAAAAAUU